UUGGAGGGCAAGUCUGGUGCCAGCAGCCGCGGUAAUUCCAGCUCCAAUAGCGUAUAUUAAAGUUGUUGCAGUUAAAAAGCUCGUAGUUGAAUUUCGGGAUCAAUAUGUCGGUCGUGCCUUGGUACGUACUGGUAUCAUUGGUCUCUCCUUUCUGACGAACCAUGAUGUCAUUAAUUUGGUGUUAUGGGAGGUUAGGACUGUUACUUUGAAAAAAUUAGAGUGUUUAAAGCAGGCUUUAGCUUGAAUACAUUAGCAUGGAAUAAUGAAAUAGGACGUUCGAACCUAUUUUGUUGGUUUCUAGGAUCAACGUAAUGAUUAAUAGGGAUAGUUGGGGGCAUUAGUAUUCAAUUGUCAGAGGUGAAAUUCUUGGAUUUAUUGAAGACUAACUACUGCGAAAGCAUUUGCCAAGGAUGUUUUCAUUAAUCAAGAACGAAAGUUAGGGGAUCGAAGACGAUCAGAUACCGUCGUAGUCUUAACCAUAAACUAUGCCGACUAGGGAUCGGAUGAUGUUAAUUUUUUAAUGACUCAUUCGGCGCCUUACGGGAAAC
rnacentral:rRNA from 1 species